rnacentral:rRNA from 1 species
UACGUAGGGUCCGAGCGUUGUCCGGAAUUACUGGGCGUAAAGAGCUCGUAGGUGGUUUGUCGCGUUGUUCGUGAAAACUCACAGCUUAACUGUGGGCGUGCGGGCGAUACGGGCAGACUAGAGUACUGCAGGGGAGACUGGAAUUCCUGGUGUAGCGGUGGAAUGCGCAGAUAUCAGGAGGAACACCGGUGGCGAAGGCGGGUCUCUGGGCAAUAACUGACGCUGGAGGAGCGAAAAGCGUGGGGGAGCGAACAGG